CUACACAACUCCUGGUGGACACAAAGGAUCAUGUUCCAAGCAGAUUCCCCAUCAUGCAAGACACUUGCGAGAUUACUUGUGCACACCCACAAGGUGUGAGUCAUUGGUCUGAUAACUACUCGUUCCUCUUGUUUUCACGGGUUUAGCAACUACCUGGUUACACCAAUGCAAAUGAGUGGAGGAUGGCACCCAUCAGAUUGGCCUCUCUGAAGAAAACAGGUCAAACAACAAACUGAGUUCCUUGAAAGUCAGGAUGUUCCCAAGGGAUUCAGAGUUACUUUAACGAGAGCAUCACCUCGCCUCUCACAAGUUUUGCAGUGCACAGUGCACUGGGCCUCUGACUCAGGGACAGCUCUGGCCAAUGGAAGAGAGAGACCUCAAAUAACAAGGAAACAAUUACACCCCACUGCCCUGAUUUACAAAGGCAACAUGGCUCUCAGAAAGACAAGCUUUGUUGGGUGCAACAAAGCUGCAAUACCAUGGAAAUACCUCUGGAAAUACCAUGUGGCCUCGACUGAGAGGGGAGAAAUGUCCCACUGAAGAAAUCUGUCUGUGCAGCUCCCAGCAGAGCAGGCUCCUGCUUUUCCCUGCUAUCAGAAGCAGCCAGAAAUACCCACCCAGCCAGAUGCUUGCUACAUAGGAAAUUAAAAGAAGAGCUAAAUCUACAA